rnacentral:rRNA from 1 species
AAUGAACGCUGGCGGCAUGCCUUACACAUGCAAGUCGAACGGCAGCAUGACCUAGCUUGCUAGGUUGAUGGCGAGUGGCGAACGGGUGAGUAAUGCAUCGGAACGUGCCUUUUAGUGGGGGAUAACGUAGCGAAAGUUACGCUAAUACCGCAUAUUCUCUGAGGAGGAAAGCAGGGGACCUUCGGGCCUUGCGCUAGAAGAGCGGCCGAUGUCGGAUUAGCUAGUUGGUGAGGUAAAGGCUCACCAAGGCAACGAUCCGUAGCGGGUCUGAGAGGAUGAUCCGCCACACUGGGACUGAGACACGGCCCAGACUCCUACGGGAGGCAGCAGUGGGGAAUUUUGGACAAUGGGCGCAAGCCUGAUCCAGCCAUGCCGCCUGAGUGAAGAAGGCCUUCGGGUUGUAAAGCUCUUUCGGCUGGGAAGAAAUCGCACCCUCUAGUACAGGGUGUGGAUGACGGUACCAGCAUAAGAAGCACCGGCUAACUACGUG